rnacentral:rRNA from 1 species
GACGUAGGGCGCGAGCGUUGUCCGGCUUUAUUGGGCGUAAAGAGCUCGUAGGCGGCUUGUCGCGUCGUCUGUGAAAUCCCGCGGCUCAACCGCGGGUCUGCAGUCGAUACGGGCAGGCUAGAGUUCGGUAGGGGAGACUGGAAUUCCUGGUGUAGCGGUGAAAUGCGCAGAUAUCAGGAGGAACACCGGUGGCGAAGGCGGGUCUCUGGGCCGAUACUGACGCUGAGGAGCGAAAGCGUGGGGAGCGAACAGG